rnacentral:rRNA from 1 species
CAUAGGUUAAUGAGGCGAACCGGGGGAACUGAAACAUCUAAGUACCCCGAGGAAAAGAAAUCAACCGAGAUUCCCCCAGUAGCGGCGAGCGAACGGGGAGCAGCCCAGAGCCUGAAUCAGUGUGUGUGUUAGUGGAAGCGUCUGGAAAGGCGCGCGAUACAGGGUGACAGCCCCGUACACAAAAAUGCACAUGCUGUGAGCUCGAUGAGUAGGGCGGGACACGUGGUAUCCUGUCUGAAUAUGGGGGGACCAUCCUCCAAGGCUAAAUACUCCUGACUGACCGAUAGUGAACCAGUACCGUGAGGGAAAGGCGAAAAGAACCCCGGCGAGGGGAGUGAAAAAGAACCUGAAACCGUGUACGUACAAGCAGUGGGAGCACGCUUAGGCGUGUGACUGCGUACCUUUUGUAUAAUGGGUCAGCGACUUAUAUUCUGUAGCAAGGUUAACCGAAUAGGGGAGCCGAAGGGAAACCGAGUCUUAACUGGGCGUUAAGUUGCAGGGUAUAGACCCGAAACCCGGUGAUCUAGCCAUGGGCAGGUUGAAGGUUGGGUAACACUAACUGGAGGACCGAACCGACUAAUGUUGAAAAAUUAGCGGAUGACUUGUGGCUGGGGGUGAAAGGCCAAUCAAACCGGGAGAUAGCUGGUUCUCCCCGAAAGCUAUUUAGGUAGCGCCUCGUGAAUUCAUCUCCGGGGGUAGAGCACUGUUUCGGCAAGGGGGUCAUCCCGACUUACCAACCCGAUGCAAACUGCGAAUACCGGAGAAUGUUAUCACGGGAGACACACGGCGGGUGCUAACGUCCGUCGUGAAGAGGGAAACAACCCAGACCGCCAGCUAAGGUCCCAAAGUCAUGGUUAAGUGGGAAACGAUGUGGGAAGGCCCAGACAGCCAGGAUGUUGGCUUAGAAGCAGCCAUCAUUUAAAGAAAGCGUAAUAGCUCACUGGUCGAGUCGGCCUGCGCGGAAGAUGUAACGGGGCUAAACCAUGCACCGAAGCUGCGGCAGCGACGCUUAUGCGUUGUUGGGUAGGGGAGCGUUCUGUAAGCC